rnacentral:tRNA from 1 species
UAUUAAAUUAUUAUUUUGGCAGAUUAGUGUAAUGAAUUUAGAAUUCAUAAAAGUAAAUUUUUUACAAAUAAUAC